UUGAUUCUCCAGUCAUUCCAGUGGCCUAGAAAAAUCUUCUUUUGUCCUCCGUAUGGUGGCCACCAUGUUGAGAUCACAUGACCAGCUAAAUUCUGCUCACUUUAUCUUGGUCACAUAUUAUCAGAAACAUUCACCUUAUAUAAAUGAAUCAUGAGAGUGAAUAGAUUAUUUCUACAGCGGCACUGAAAGCUGAAAAUGCUUCAUCCACACUGAUAGAUGUUCAUAUAAAGUCAAAGACUAGUGUCUCAUCAGUCUGACAAACAUAAACAAAAAUAUUUCACAAUUAAUCAAUAUGAACAAUUAAUCACUAAAUGGUUCAAGAAUGCUCUGAAAGUAAAAUCUUAUAUGUAGAGAGUUUAUUAGUUUGUCUGUUGUAAAUCCUGCCCACUUGUUUGCAUUGUGACACAUGCUUCAGUGCUCUGAGAGUGUUUAUAGUGCUGUGAGUUUAACACUUCAUGACUGAGAGCAGAACAGAACACAAUCUUCAUCAUCACACAAGACAAAAGAACAACAAUGAACACAAUCACCUUCAUCUGGACUCUCACACUGUUUAUUCAAGAAUCCAGAGGAGUGACUCUGACUCAACCUGAAGCUAAAACUGUCCAACAGGGUGAAACAGCUUCAAUAGAGUGUAGUUUGGAUGUUGCACUAACUUAUAAUGCCUUAGUCUGGUAUCAGCAGAAACUUGGAGAAACCCCUAAACUCCUGAUUUAUGGCAUAAACAUACUCCAGUCAGGAACUCCAUCUAGAUUCAGUGGCAGUGGAUCUAACUAUGGCAGUGAUUUUACUCUGACCAUCAGUGGAGUCCAGACUGAAGAUACAGGAGAUUAUUACUGUCUGAGUAUACACAGCAUCAACAGUAAAUAUGUGUUCACACAGUGAUAAAGAGUGGUACAAAAACCUCGGUCAGUCAGACGUCACAGUGAUGCACUGAUACAGCUGAGAGAUACUGCAGCUGCUCAUACAACACAAUCACACACAACACUGAUCAGUGAUGGAAGGGGUUCAUCAUAAAAGAUCAC